rnacentral:rRNA from 1 species
AGAGUGAAAUAGUACGUGAAAUUGUUAAAAGGGAAGCGCUUGGGUUCAGACCGCAAGGCUGGCCUAUGUGUUCUCUCUGCUGCGAGUGAUGCACUUUUUCGUCUGCAGGCCAACAUCAGUUUCUUCUGCUGGACAAAACUCUAAGAGAAGGUAGCAGCUUAGGCUGUGUUAUAGCUCUGGAGCGAUACAGUGGAGGAGACUGAGGUUUUCGCAGCGUGUGCUCUCGGGCAAGGCGGAUUGGGUGCUAUGAGAUCGUUCGGCGUACAAUGCAUGCAUUUUGCGCCGUGUCUUUUUCAUACUCGCUCAACUCUGCUCUUCCACGCUUAGGAUGUUGGCAUAAUGGUUUUAACCGACC